AUGCUCGCUUCGGCAGCACAUAUACUAAAAUUGGAAUAAUACAGAGAAGAUUAGCAUGGCCCCUCAGACGAAGGAGGUAAUGGUUCUUCACGGUGGCCAGCGCCAUGUUA